rnacentral:lncRNA from 1 species
CACUUGUUUACAUAUUUUUCUACGACUAUUUUCACACUCCAAUGGCAGAGUUGAAUUCUUAGGACAGUGACUGUAUGACUCUCAAAGCCUAAAUUAUUGGCUUUCUGGUCUUCUACAGAUGAAAUUUAUUGACCCAUAUCUUAGACCAGAAUCAGUUCUAUAGCAGUCUUUUUUUUUUCUGUUUCUUUCUGAGGUUUAUUAAAAGAAAGAAGGCAUAACUAGAUAAAAGACCAGCUACAUUCUGCCCUGUCUAUAACCAAUGCCAACUAGGUUCUCUGAAUAUUUCUCAAGGUUGUUUCUUUCUGCCUUUGAAGCCAUGUAAAUUCCAACCAGAAAAGCAAAGACAUGAUAUGGACCUGGGAGUGAGAAGGAAACAGGGCGUGCACCAUCAACAUCAGCGUUGGUUUCCUGCAAGCACAAAGUCAAGCAAGGUUACCCAUCAAUCCUCCACAGCAGCCAGCUGCCAACUGAUCUCCAAUAAGAAGGUGACCUUGAGUUCACUCUCCCUGAAGCUUGACAGUCUCAUUUUGGACAGUGUGGAGCUACUGAAGAUUUCUGAACUGAGGUUUAAUAUGAUAAAAUGAUAUCUUCAGGAGAUUGCUAGAAGGCUGUUUUUGCAGGAUUAAUUGGAUAGAGAAAACCUUGGAAUGCAGAGAAGCCAAGCUGGAAGCAUGAGGUGGUCAGGAGAAGGCUCAGCCCCGUGGUGGCGGUCGUACCAGUGGAGCGGCAGAGAUGAGCCAGGUGGCAUCCUAUAGAAAUAAAUGACAGGGCUCGAUGGCUGAUCGGAAUGAG